AUGGCUGUCGUCAGCUCGUGUCGUGAGAUGUUGGGUUAAGUCCCGCAACGAGCGCAACCCUUGUCCUAUGUUGCCAGCGGAUAAUGCCGGGGACUCGUAGGAGACUGCCGGGGUCAACUCGGAGGAAGGUGGGGACGACGUCAAGUCAUCAUGCCCCUUAUAUCCAGGGCUGCAAACAUGCUACAAUGGCCGGUACAAAGGGCUGCGAAACCGCGAGGUUGAGCGAAUCCCAUAAAGCCGGUCUCAGUUCGGAUUGGAGUCUGCAACUCGACUCCAUGAAGGCGGAGUCGCUAGUAAUCCCGGAUCAGCAACGCCGGGGUGAAUACGUUCCCGGGCCUUGUACACACCGCCCGUCACACCACGAAAGUCGGCAACACCCGAAGUCAGUGGCCUAACUCUUAGGAGAAGGAGCUGCCGAAGGUGGGGUUGGCGAUUGGGGUGAAGUCGUAACAAGGUAGCCGUACCGGAAGGUGCGGCUGGAUCACCUCCUUUCUAAGGAGUACAUACCGUCCCCGAUGUCGACCGUAUGUGUCGACCGGAGACGGUCACUCCCAGUUAGUGCACUGGCUAGUUGGCCACGUUCCAGGAGCUCGACAAGAUCGGGUCUCCUGGGCGGCGGAGUUCCGUCCUCUAUCCCGCUUUGAGGGAGCGCCACGUGCGCCACCCUUGACGGUCGGUCCCGCCCGUCGACGCAUUUGUGCGUUGACCUGGCGUCAUCGGCCGUAGGCCUCGGCCACUGGUCGGCUGUUCGAACUCGAACACCCGGCCAUGCCGUCGUCGACCCCAGGGGUCGACAGACGCCUCUUGAGAACUGCACAGCGAACACGAGCAUCUUCAUCAAUAAAUUGUCGAUGUAUUUGUAAUUUCCAAGCUACUAAGAGCCAACGGUGAAUGCCUUGGCGACUACUACCGAAGAAGGACGUGGGUGGCUGCGAAAAGCCACGGUGAGCCGCCUACCUGGCUACGACCCGUGGAUGUCCGAAUGGGGAAACCCGG
rnacentral:sRNA from 1 species